AAAGCCGGAUUAAUACCGCAUACGCUCUGUGGAGGAAAGCGGGGGAUCUUCGGACCUCGCGCUCAAGGGGCGGCCGAUGGCAGAUUAGCUAGUUGGUGGGGUAAAGGCCUACCAAGGCGACGAUCUGUAGCUGGUCUGAGAGGACGACCAGCCACACUGGGACUGAGACACGGCCCAGACUCCUACGGGAGGCAGCAGUGGGGAAUUUUGGACAAUGGGGGCAACCCUGAUCCAGCAAUGCCGCGUGUGUGAAGAAGGCCUUCGGGUUGUAAAGCACUUUUGUCCGGAAAGAAAACCUCUGGGUUAAUACCCUGGGGGGAUGACGGUACCGGAAGAAUAAGCACCGGCUAACUACGUGCCAGCAGCCGCGGUAAUACGUAGGGUGCGAGCGUUAAUCGGAAUUACUGGGCGUAAAGCGUGCGCAGGCGGUUCGCU
rnacentral:rRNA from 15 species